rnacentral:lncRNA from 12 species
CCCUGGUCUGUGAAAAGGAAUUUAUGCAGGGCUCUCUUCACAUUGGCAUGCAGUAGUGAAUUGUUAAAGCCCUGGAAGGAGUCCUGUGCAUGUCACCAUGCAGAGCAUCCAAGGAGCACCAUCUUCCUGGGAAAGACAUCAGACUUGAGAAGACACACACCAUUUUAACCUGGAUGCACAGAUACACAUCAUGCCCUAACGAAUCCUGCAGAUUUCUCAAUGACCCUGUGAUGGAAUGAGAUGAUGAGAAUGUGUUUCAGAACAAAGGAUCACUGAAUUUAGUGGAAGUCAACAGCAUCUACAUUGAAGCUACAAUAUCUCAUUUGGAAAACUGGAGGUCCUAGGUUAUUUAUAGACAUAUAUAUCUUGUAAUGAAGUGAUGGUUUUUAAUAAUCUCAAAUAGUUAUUAAUUUUAAUUUCUUUAAAUUUAUCUUUUCUGUUCUGUUUGGUAUCUCUCAGUUUUUAUCAGCUUCUGUUAUUGUAUUUUGGCUUGUUACUUAUCUUUUAUUUUUUCUUCUCAAACAUCAACUUCUGGCUCACUCAGUGUAAGUAUAUAAGGGUGGAGUCUCCCUUCUUCACAAAACCCUUAGGUAGGGUGCAGCUUCCAAUAGUGGUGACUCAUGAAUGACAAGACUAGGAACACUUUAAACAUUGAUUAUAAUGAGAGAACAGCAAGUUAUUGCUUGAUGAAGUUGGAUUUAUUAAUAGAUGAGAUAAUCCAGUUGUUGCAAAAAGUCUGACUUGUAGUUUCUUCGAAACUUCUUAUAAUCCUCUCUUAUUUAUUUAGAAAAUUUUUCUGAAUCCAAUCCCAUUACCAUAAAACAGAGAAAUUUCUGUAUCAGCACUUUAUACAUUGCCCAGAAAAAAUAAAGUGAAUUUUUAAAUGUUAAAUAUAGGAAAA